CUGUGAGCUCGAUGAGUAGGGCGGGACACGUGGUAUCCUGUCUGAAUAUGGGGGGACCAUCCUCCAAGGCUAAAUACUCCUGACUGACCGAUAGUGAACCAGUACCGUGAGGGAAAGGCGAAAAGAACCCCGGCGAGGGGAGUGAAAAAGAACCUGAAACCGUGUACGUACAAGCAGUGGGAGCACGCUUAGGCGUGUGACUGCGUACCUUUUGUAUAAUGGGUCAGCGACUUAUAUUCUGUAGCAAGGUUAACCGAAUAGGGGAGCCGAAGGGAAACCGAGUCUUAACUGGGCGUUAAGUUGCAGGGUAUAGACCCGAAACCCGGUGAUCUAGCCAUGGGCAGGUUGAAGGUUGGGUAACACUAACUGGAGGACCGAACCGACUAAUGUUGAAAAAUUAGCGGAUGACUUGUGGCUGGGGGUGAAAGGCCAAUCAAACCGGGAGAUAGCUGGUUCUCCCCGAAAGCUAUUUAGGUAGCGCCUCGUGAAUUCAUCUCCGGGGGUAGAGCACUGUUUCGGCAAGGGGGUCAUCCCGACUUACCAACCCGAUGCAAACUGCGAAUACCGGAGAAUGUUAUCACGGGAGACACACGGCGGGUGCUAACGUCCGUCGUGAAGAGGGAAACAACCCAGACCGCCAGCUAAGGU
rnacentral:rRNA from 1 species